AUCACAACAGUUUUCCUCACUAAAAUCCUACCUACAGCAGAUGAGCAGGAUCUGAAACUGAUGUGCUGAAGAAAUAGAAACAAAUCCAGCAAAGAC